rnacentral:RNase_P_RNA from 1 species
GAAUGCGAGUGGAUGGUCGCGUGCUCGGUUAGGCAACUAAGCGAGCCCGAGGAACGUCCGAACACCCCGUUAUGUGAAUAGCGGAGCAUGAUCGUUGGUAACGCCAACCGCACUGCGGCUUCGCAAGAAGUGACAGGAGUGUAGGGCUCGUGCCACAGAGACAUAUACCGCCGAUGGCCGUCGCAAGACGGAACAGGUAAGGCUGAAAAGUGUGAGGUAAGAGCUCACGGAUGUGCAUGGUGACAUGCAUGUGGGGUAAACCCGAUCUGGUGCAAGAUCAUAUAGGCUGUCACAAGUCGCUCUCGAGUCGAGUUGUGAGCAGCGGGUAGAUUGCUCGAGCCUAUUGGUAACAAUGGGCCUAGAUAGAUGACCAUCUCCAUGUCACGUUCGCGUGUUAUGUAGACAAAAUUCGGCGUACAACUCGCGUUCGCUC